AGGAGACCGCGGACGGCCGACGGUGACCCUUCGGGGUUGCUGAGGAACGUCCCCCCUCCCCAGGUACGGUGGCCCCGCGCAAGCGGAGGGGCCCGAGAGGGCCGGCAAGGGCGCAGAAACGACACAGCCCGCGUCGAGGAUGAAUCGCCCGGCGAGGACGUUGACGCGGGAUCUGGUGAGACGGCGACACCCCACCGGAGCAAGUCCAAGCAGGCGCAAUGCGCCAGGUAGG
rnacentral:RNase_P_RNA from 1 species